rnacentral:rRNA from 1 species
UACAGAGGGUGCCAGCGUUGUUCGGAAUUAUUGGGCGUAAAGGGCGCGUAGGCGGCUCUGUGUGUCGGGUGUGAAAUCCCACCUCUUAAAGGUGGAAUUGCAUUCGAAACUACAGAGCUGGAGUUCCGGAGAGGAUGGUGGAAUUCCUGGUGUAGAGGUGAAAUUCGUAGAUAUCAGGAGGAACACCGGCGGCGAAGGCGGCCCUCUGGAUCGUUGCUGACGCUGAGACGCGAAAGCGUGGGGAGCAAACAGG